CACAUACACACAAACACACACAUACACACACAAACAUACACACAAAACACACAUACACACAGAUACACAUACAGACACACACAUGCAAACACACAUACACACAUACAUGCACAUACACACACACAUACACAUGGUCACACUGGCACCCAGGCACCCAGGGAGAGGAGAGAGGCAGUGCCUUGUCACACAUACACAUACACGCUCACACUGGCACCCAGGCACCCAGGGAGAGGAGCAAGGCAGUGCAUGCACACACACACACACACACACACACACACUCACACUGGCACCCAGGCACCCAGGACCAGGCAUGCAUGCACAGGCAUACACACACAUACUCACGCCUGAUCACUCAGGCUCCCAGGUCAAGUACAUGUGAGCACACACAUGCUCAUGCGGAGCCUAACACAAACACACACAGAGCCUUACACACACAGGCACACACUCACACAGUCUUGUACAAUGUAGCUCCCCA
rnacentral:lncRNA from 1 species